ensembl:lncRNA
ACACAAAUACACAUGCUCUCCUGAUGCUACACAACAAAUUCCAACUGCCACUUACAAUAAAUAAAUAAAUAAAAAUACAGUAAUGCUCUGUUGGAAAUUUGAAAUGUUGAGACAGAAAAUUGUCCUGCUUUGCCUGCUGAGUAAUGAACAUGCUCUGCUUUCUGCCGCUUUCCCUCUUCUCACCGUCAGGAUUUAAAAUCAUGAGGCAGACACAGACAGCUGGACAGAAAACAAACCAAAUAAAUCCCUGUUCAACAUCCAGAUUAUUAAUUGAUGUAAAUUUACCUCACAGGACAGCAAGCUCCACACUGGCAAAUCCUACAAUGUUCCCAUGCCACUGUCGGGCCACAUUUUGCCUUCCUAUCCCACUGUCUGCAGAACCAAGCUCCACAGGAAUGGUACACCUCCCACUCCCACACUGCACGUUCACAUUCAGUGUCUCGUAAAGCCAGUUGUAAGCACCGAACACCUGAUCGUGUGUGUGUGUGAUGGCGGUUUCGCUCAUUUCCCCUCUUUCUGUUACACCUUAUGGCCUGGACAGAGCAUAGAGACAUUCACACAAACAUACAGCCUCACACACGCACACACAUUUAAUCCAUCCUCCACUUGCCCUAUAUACAGUAAUUAAAUUAAUUUAUCUGCAUGCAGAUAAAAGCAUUCUAUAAGAAUCGAGGAUGCUCUGGGGAGAUGAUGAGUCAAAUUGCAAGCACAGAUAGCAGCGUCCGCUGGCACAGAGCUAACAGGGUGGAGGAGGGGACUGGACAGGCUGCUUGCUUGCUUUGGUGCAUUUUAUGGGAAAACACAGUCUGCCUCAGCAGCAGAACGGCUUCAGUGAAAUAUUAUCUUCCUGUCUCAAAGCAAGCCAAAAUAGCGAAAUAGGAAGCGGUGUGAGAGUGGCGAGGCUUACCGUGUUCACAAGCCAGCAUCCAUUUACAAAGGAUACUGCAGACAAGCCUUUGCAGGGUGAGAAAGGCUCUGUACAAGCCACCUUUAGUCCUGCUGCUCCAUCUUCAUGCCUUCCUCAUGUUCACAGGGUGAAACAGUCACAUAUACAUCUCUCUCUUCCCGCGGCCCUCUUUCUCUCCCAGAUUGUCUCUGUGCCUCUCACAGCUUCCUGUCUCCCUAAUCCUUAAUCCUGUGGAAAUCGGUCAGGCAGAAUGAGCCAGCUUUGAUCAGGCUCUCAUAUCAGGCGUGCUAACAGUGUCAGCGCACCCAGAUCCCACAGAACCCCGGAGCCCAGGGGGAGAACUUCAAACAGGCGUUCACCCCCUGACUCUGCCUGAGAGGAAGGUGAAAGCGAGGCAGCAGAGAUCCUGUCUCGAGAGACUCUGAAAGAAGCUGUGUCUCUUUCUAUAAAUUUAGCAAACAUUUACAUGAGGACAUGUCACCAUCCAGCUGUAAUGACACACUUUCUUUCCUGCGUGAACUAAACUUGCUGUGGGAACAGAUCAGUACAGAGUGUAAAGCAGAGCGAUGUAAAAGUCGCUUUUGUGAGCAGUGUCUCUGACACCAAGCAUGGAGUCUGUGUCACUGGUGUUCUUGUGUUGUGAUUUAUGGCUGAGGAUUGUAAUGCUUAUCCUCGGCCUUGUCAUAAAACGACUAAUGGCCAACCUUUUAAGCUUAGGCUUCUUUAAAUGGUUGUACAGAGCACCUAAAAAAGUCUGAAACCAACAUGCACAUAUUUAUUUCGUAAUUUGGAAUGAAUCCCAUGAGGUACACAAGUUAUGAAAAUGACAUCAUCCUUUCAGUCAUUCAUUCUCUUCAGACUUCAGACAGGGCAGGUAUUCUAAGUGGAGAGGUUAUCGUAUAUUGCUAGAUAGUGAUCACAUUAAAAAAAAAUGAAUCACAGAGGCCAGCCUUGUAAAACCAACAGACAGGGUACAUAAAGGAUUUCCUUUCUCACAACCACAUGACCUGGAGGUUUGUGCUCUCUGCAGAUGUACAACAAUACUGACAGUGUACUCAGACUCUCUGUUUAAUCAGUUCAGAAGUAUAAUCAGGUGCUUUAAAUCAGCCAGAGAAAUGAAGCAUUUAGCAGGGCCAGUGUGAGCGCAAGAUGUGCACCAUCUGAUCUGUGAUAUGUGGCUACCUGCUGCUGUAAUAAAGUGAAAAUGAUAGUGGGAAAACAUUUUUUCCUCUUUUCUCAUUUUGAUAACACCACUGUUGGCAGUAUUGGUCUUUAAAAACUAAGAGUGAAGAGUAAAUUCAGCAAACAUGACCUAUAUAAACUGAAUUUUAUCUGAUAAUAACAGCAAACAAACAAUGAAAAAAAAAUAGAAAGCCCUGCAUUUAUAGGAUCUUCGAAGUCUUGCUCUAUGGUGUGGCAUCUAGCUUGUUUUUAUUGUAAAUGCUGACACCUAGUGGCCAAGCAUGUACAUAACAUAUAGUUAAGAGGAAACAUUUUGGAUGUACCAGCUGCAGCGACCCCUGGUGAAUAAGGGAGCAGCCGAAAGUUUCUUGUUCUUCUCCUUCUUUUUUGUUUCACCACAUAUUUAUAUAUCCAAAAGCAUUGGUAUAGCUUUGUCAUAGAUGCAACUUCGCCUGCAACCGAAGUCUCAAUCAGGGACGAAUGUUUUGAGUUAAAAACAUUAAAUGAACAUAUACUGCCAUCGUUGUAGUUUGUGCUUCUCUCUGUGUGUGACAUAUUAUGACACUGUAAUCCAUUUUAUUGUGUGGGUAGUCUAUUGUCUCUGAUAAGUGAUUCUGGUUCAGCUAUAUUUUGGUACUUUUCCACUAUUUUGAAACUUUGCCCAAGGUCCUCAUUUCAUUUUUUGCAAUAUUUAUUUAUACACAUAAAAAAAAAAAAUAAAAAUAAAAAAAAACAUUAGACAAGCAUGUGUCACCUCUGAGCUUACUAAUGACAGGAAACAGUUCAAUAUUCUGAAGUAAUUAUAUCUUAUAAUGAAGUUCGCCUUUACCAAAUACAUAAUUCCCAUUUUUGUGUCAUUUGUAGGCAUGAUUUGCACUUCUUGUUUCAUAUUUUCACAUUUCAUUAUAAUAAUAAUAAUAAUAAUAAUAAUACAUUUUAUUUGAGGGCGCCUUUCAGAAACCCAAGGUCACCUUACAAAAAAACACAAUUAAUAAAAGGAACAGUAGUCAUACAAUACAUAAAAUAAGUUAAAAUUACAAAACAGAGCAUGACAACAGAUAAAAUCAGCAUUAAAGCGAAUAAGCCAGUUUAAACAGAUGUGUUUUGAGCUGUGUCUUGAAUACGGAGAGGGAGUCAAUAUUUCUUAGUGCAGGGGGAAGAGAGUUCCAGAGCCGGGGAGCAGAGCGACUGAAAGCUCUGUUCCCCAUAGUAAUAAGGUGUGAGGACGGAACAGUAAGAUGAAUAGCAGAUGAUGAUCUGAGAGGGCGGGAAACAGUGGUGAUAUGGAGCAGGUCACACAAAUAUGAAGGAGCAGAUUUAUGGAUACACUUGUAAGUAAGAAGUAAGAUUUUAAAAUUUAUCCUGGCUUCUAUGGGCAACCAGUGAAGCUGCUGAAGAACUGGGGUAAUAUGAGCACUUAACGGAGUACGGGUUAUGAUCCGAGCUGCAGAAUUUUGAAGAAGUUGGAGUUUAUGAAGGGACCUUUUAGGGAGACCAAAUAGGAGGGAAUUACAGUAAUCAAUACGGGAUGUAAUAAGACUAUGAACAAGGAUGGCAGCAGCAUGAGGGGUAAGGAAGGGACGGAGUCGGUUAAUAUUACGUAAAUGGAAGUAAGCAGACCAGGUUAUGUAAUUAAUGUGAGACUGGAAUGAAAGAGUAUUAUCAAGUAUGAUGCCCAAACUCUUAACCUGAGGGGAGGGAAGGGUGGGAGAAUUUUCAAUGUUAAUGGAAAAGCUGUGGGAUUUGGUUAAGAUAGAUGGUGUACCAACAAGUAAAACUUCAGUUUUAUUACUGUUAAGUUUGAGGAAAUUGGAGGAGAACCAGGAUCUAAUCUCAAUAAGACAGUCUGAGAGGGAGGGAGGUGGGAGGGAUGAAUUGGGUUUAGAAGAAAGGUAGAGCUGGGUGUCAUCGGCAUAACAGUGGAAAUUUAUAUUAUAUUUUCGGAAUAUAUAACCAAGAGGAAGCAUAUAAAUAAUGAAUAAAAGAGGCCCCAAUACUGAACCCUGGGGCACACCAGCAGAAACAGGAAAGAGAGUUGAAGAAUGGGAUUUAAGUUGGAUAAACUGAGUGCGGUCUGAGAGAUAGGAGGUAAACCAGGCAAGGGGGGUAUGACUAAUACCAAUGGAAGCUAACCGGUUCAGGAGAAUAUUGUGAGAAAUGGUAUCAAACGCCGCACUAAGAUCAAGAAGGAUGAGAAUGGAUAGGAGGCCAGAAUCAGCUGCCAUCAGAAGGUCAUUGGUAAUUCUUAACAGAGCAGUUUCUGUGCUAUGAUUGGGGCGGAAACCAGAUUGAAAUUAUAUCUGGAAGAUUUUUCUUGUGGUGUUUGAUUAAGUGCUGUUAUUCUUAAGUUUCUGAAAAAAUACAUUCAUUUUAGCUGUGGGAGAAACUGGUAUUUUCAUGACUUUCUGUUUCACCCAAAAGAUCUUAUUUUAUCUUCAUUCUACCGGUUGUUAAAAAACAACAAUCUGCAUGUGCUUUCUGUUUACUUUUGGGAUAAUUCUGCAAGGCCAAACGCACUCAUACACCAGUGGAUGCACUGAUAGACAUUUGGGUAUCAGUGCCUUGCCUACGGACACUUUGACAUGUGGUUUGAAAGAACCAGGGAUUAAAUCUGUGACCUUCUGUCUGGAGCUAUGGUGACCAACUUUUUGUUUAAACACUGAAGUGCUCCAUUGUGUAUGCACACUACUGGGCUAUGGUGCAUUUCUACAUGUUACCGAUGUAUCUGCUAUUCCCCUGUUGGUGUUCUUCCUUCGUUAUCAGAAUUGCAGCUACCCAAUCACAUUGUUGUGAUGUCAUAGCUUUACAAUGUGGGGCAAAAAGAAGGAAAAAAUGCCUUUUUUAAUACAUUAAACUGUCUCUUGGAACAUAUGAUAAGUACUUCAAGUGUUUUCUCGAAGUGAACUCAUUUAUACGAUAUAAUAAAUAUAUUAUCUAGUUAGAUUUGCUGUCAGCUAAAUUUAGGUCGCGUUCGUUUGCUACUGAUAGUUUUGAAAAGCAUUACCCAACUUCUUGGCAAACGCUAACUGAAUGCUCAGACAACACCAACGCAGGGAUAUCAGGUCAUGCCAUGUAACCACUGACAGUAGUCAAUUGUGAUCCCACGAUUAAAUGUUAGACUACAUAAUCAGUUCAUAAAUCCAUAUGUUCAUGUCCACCUGUCACCAUGUGGACAAAAAUUAAGCCACAGAGCCGGAGUUGAUGUUGUGACUUAAUCAACAUACUUUGUAUAUCAGUCAAGCUUAGUUGUGAUUUGAUUCUUUGAAAACAUGAGUUAAAGAGAUUGUAUAACAUUGAAUUCCUCUUUUGUCAGGGAAAAAACUAGUAGUGUUGUUCUAGUUUGCUCAUGUAGCUUCACAUGUCUUUAUUUUCAAAUAAAAUCUUCAUUACUACUUUAACAUUAGCAGCUUUUUAAAUGUCUUUUAAAGCCUAAGAAACUUCAUAGAUUACAGGAUUAUAUCUUGGCGUACCACUUUUUUCAGUAAGUUUUUUUUUUUAGAUAUUUUAUCCCUUAUUCAUCGGUUACUGUUGGCUCUGUAGCUUUGAGCUAAGACACACAUCCUUUAAUGAGCUGUUC